AGACAGAGGUGGCUAGCGUUGCUCGGAAUUACUGGGCUUAAAGGGCGUGUAGGCGGUCAGAUAAGUCUGGGGUGUAAUGGUACGGCUCAACUGUACUGCUGCCCUGGAUACUGUUUGACUUGAGUGAGCGAGGGGAGUGCGGAAUUUUCGGUGUAGCGGUGAAAUGCGUAGAUAUCGGGAGGAAGGCCUGUAGCGAAGGCGGCACUCUGGCGCUCAACUGACGCUGAGGUGCGAAAGCAUGGGGAGCAAACAGGAUUAGAUACCCUGGUAGUCCAUGCUAUAAACGGUGGGCACUAGGUGUGGGUCUCGCAAGGGAUCUGUGCCGAAGGGAAACCAUUAAGUGCCCCGCCUGGGGAGUACGGCCGCAAGGUUGAA
rnacentral:rRNA from 1 species